CCGGCCAACGCAAGAACAAAGGAAGAAAAGAAAGAACAAAAACCUUAGAGUGAAAAUUCAAGAGAAAAUUGGUGGAUUUCAAGUAACCAAUUAAUCAAAGGUAAAAUUUCUUGAUUUUGACUUGUGAUCUACCUUUUCCAUACAUUCUUUUGCAUUUUCCAUGGUUGAAUCACAUGAUUUCAUGAUGGGUUUCUCGUUGGCCAAACACUUAGAGAGAGAUUUUGAUGGUUGUUUUGGUUAGAUUUUUAUAUAUUCUAGUGUUUUUAGUUGAUUGGUGAUGUGUAGCAUGAAAAUCUAGCAAGAAAGAUUCAUGUUCUUCCAUAACCCUCAUUGGCCGAAUUCUCCAUAUGGAAUAUUGAUGAUGAUUUUGAUUUUAUUUCAAGUGAUUUGGUUAGGAAAUGAUGAAUUACGGUGAGAAAAUCAAGUAGGAAAAAUCAUAGUAUUGAUACACCCACCAUGAUCGAAAUUCCCAAGAAAAAAUGUGAAGAUGAUUUUGCUAAAUUUUAUGCUAUUUGACUUGUGUUUGAUGGUUUGGAGAAUUGGAAGAAAAAUGGAGUUAUUUGGAGUUAAAUUGGACAUAUUGGCCAAUUAAUCGAGUGAUAGAUCGAAUUAGGCCAAUACCGUUUUAUUUAGGUACACAAUUGAAUUUAUGUAGAACACCGUGUUUAGAUGAUGAUCCGAACAAUUCGCAUUCCAUUUCAUGCAUUAGUAUAGAGCCUGAAUUAGUUUUAUAACAGUUUAACACAAAUGUAGUAAAUGGCUUAUUGUGCAUUAUGUUUAGGUGAUGAGCAUUCUGGCAAAAGUAAAGAGAUAGUACCCAAGGAUCAAGAAUCGGAGUACUUGGAACUCGAUUCCCAUUACUGUGACUAACCUUAUUAUCAUCUUAAUUAUCUAAAGUAGUUUUUAUUCGAUUUUGUGAAAUUUAUGAAAAAUGAGUUUAAAUGGUUAAUUUUUAGGUUUUAUAAACAAAAUGUGUUUAAAUGAAAUGAUUUUAUAAAUUGUCUUGAAAUUGAACGAUAGCUUUGAAAAUAGAGUAAUUGGAGACCACUUGAUGUGUUGUAAAUUUAUGAUUCUAAUUGAUUGGCUUAUGGCAAUAUUGGCAUGAAUGGUUGAAUUGGUAAAUGUCCUGAAAAUGCAUGAACUGUUGAUUUACCUUGAAAGGCUGUAAAAUAAAAUAAUUGCCAUGUCAUGCUAUACCAAAUUUUAUUGUAUGGUGGGUUUAGCUUGCUGCAGUGGGCGAGUUCUGUGGACCAGCCUAUUAGAGGAGACGAAAUCCCUUUAUAUUCUUACCUCGAUUGAAGAGACGUGUAGGGUAACUUUCGAGGUACAACCUUUAGAGUUCACUUCACGCCAAACCACCACAUGAGGGUGAACUCAGCCAACGCCAAGGAACGGCUAUGUUUUCAAAAUAAAAACAUGAUUUAUGUGUACAUGACUUUUUCACAACCUUGGCAGACUCGGUUGGGAUAGCCUUCGGCCAAGGUAUCCCUAACAAUCGAGUAUGAGAAUGAUUUUGGCACGAGCCAAGCUUUUAAGAUACUCAUAAGCCAUGUUGAUUAUUUAAAUGAAAUGAAUAUUUAUGUUAUGAAAUACAAAUUGAGAUGGAAUAUUUUAAUCGUCUUCAUUUACUCAACUUUAGAUAUUUUAGAUGGUGUUUGUUUACUCACUGGGAUUAUAUAAUCUCACCACCCUCCUUUCCACCCAUUUCAAGCUCAGAAUAGGCUGUAGAUAGCUGAUUUCAUCGAGGGUUACCAUUGGAUUUGCAUCCUCCAAACUGUAGGUUCACAGUCUUCCUUACUUUUGGUUAUUCAAGGGUCCACUUGUUAUUGUAAAUUAAAUUAAAUACUCUGGCUUACUGUAUUACAGUAUGUAUGAAUUUAUUUUGCUUUUAUGCUGCAAAAAUUAUUUACGUAUAACUCUAAAAAUAUUGUUUUACAAGAAAAUAGAAUAUUUUAUUAAUUUUUUUUAUUUUUUUUAUUAUAUCCAAAUAAUAAUAAUUUCAUUUUAAAUGAAGGUUUUAAAUGUUUAAACUUAUUUUUUAUUAUGAAUUAUGUGUUUUGUACUUGCAUAUUACAUUUUUAGCUGGUUUCUAAAUUUUCAGGAAAAGAUGACCAAAAUGCCCCUAUGGGACAAAAAUCAUUUUUUUAUUUGUUUUAAGUUGAAAAUAGCUUAAAAUCUUUUAGAACAUGAUAUUUGGCAAUGGUUACUCACAGGGGAAAUGAGAAAUAGAUAUUAAGCCUUGCAAGGUUCCGGUUGGCAUUCUGGGUAAUGAGUGUCUAUCGAGACAUCGCCGCCGUUGUCACAGGCUCGAUUGGAGUUUCGGGUCAUGACAUGUUUGGUCUUGCAGCUGAUGCUCCUUAGUUGUUUCCCCAUGAGAAGUUUGGAUGGUUUCUCCAUCCUGAUUAUAUGAGUUAGAGAAAGGGUUGUUUUGCUGUCUGUUUCCAAUGAACUGAACUGUUUCCAAAAUGUUCGCACAUUACAAAAAGACUUUAAACAAGAUUAAUACUAAAAUAAUCAAACAUUUUAAUUAGAGUAGCUACUUGUGCAAUUA
rnacentral:lncRNA from 1 species